AGCAUAGAACCACUGAGAAAACUAAAUUGAUUGAACUUAAAGGAUCUCUGGCACACAUCAGGAGCACAGCAAGCAUAGCAAACAUUAGAAAUCAAACUAGUAAAGAUAAUAAAUGAUAUCUAAUAAAAAUUUAGGUAUAAUGAUCCAUUAGAAAGGCAUCAAACAACUUUAAGUUCUGGAAAACAAACAUAUUAUUUUAUUAUUUUAUGACAAUUGAGUGACAAAAUGAUUAAUUAUGUUAAAAAAAUAAGACUCAGAAAUGUUUUCAGAAUCUCAUGUUUGCAUAUAACUUCUAGGUCCUUUAUGGAGCAUCCAUGAGUUGCAUAUUUCAUGACACUAAAAAAUUAAUUUCUAAUUUUCUACCACAAGGAAAAAGUAAUCAUUCCAAAUUUGGAAGAUUUGACACAUUUUUUUAUCGUUCAGUUGAGAAAAGACAGAAAAUUAUAGUGUUUCCGCAUAGAAUUCAAUGGAGAUAAAAGUGAAAAUGGAACAGAAAUAGAGAUAACUGGUAAUGCUGAAUUCAGGGUUCACAAGAAAAUGGUCUGCGAAUCCUUCAUCAGCAUAAAUUCUAAUUAAGGGACAAGCUCAUCCAAUAAAUCAGAGCUGUCUAACAAACGAAAGAAGCAGAAUCAAAAACUCUCAUAUAUUCCAAUGUCGGCUCUUUAACUUUCUCAGAAUAGCAUAUAUC
rnacentral:lncRNA from 1 species